rnacentral:rRNA from 1 species
GAGGAGUGGCUUUCGGAGCUAACGCGUUAAAUCGACCGCCUGGGGAGUACGGCCGCAAGGUUAAAACUCAAAUGAAUUGACGGGGGCCCGCACAAGCGGUGGAGCAUGUGGUUUAAUUCGAUGCAACGCGAAGAACCUUACCUACUCUUGACAUCCAGAGAACUUAGCAGAGAUGCUUUGGUGCCUUCGGGAACUCUGAGACAGGUGCUGCAUGGCUGUCGUCAGCUCGUGUUGUGAAAUGUUGGGUUAAGUCCCGCAACGAGCGCAACCCUUAUCCUUUGUUGCCAGCGAUUCGGUCGGGAACUCAAAGGAGACUGCCGGUGAUAAACCGGAGGAAGGUGGGGAUGACGUCAAGUCAUCAUGGCCCUUACGAGUAGGGCUACACACGUGCUACAAUGGCGUAUACAAAGAGAAGCGACCUCGCGAGAGCAAGCGGAACUCAUAAAGUACGUCGUAGUCCGGAUUGGAGUCUGCAACUCGACUCCAUGAAGUCGGAAUCGCUAGUAAUCGUAGAUCAGAAUGCUACGGUGAAUACGUUCCCGGGCCUUGUACACACCGCCCGUCACACCAUGGGAGUGGGUUGCAAAAGAAGUAGGUAGCUUAACCUUCGGGAGGGCGCUUACCACUUUGUGAUUCAUGACUGGGGUGAAGUCGUAACAG